ACAGCAGUAGCCGCGGGAAUACGAAGGGGGCUAGCGUUGCUCGGAAUUACUGGGCGUAAAGGGAGCGUAGGCGGAUGUUUAAGUCAGAGGUGAAAGCCCAGGGCUCAACCUUGGAACAGCCUUUGAUACUGGACAUCUUGAGUGUGGGAGAGGUAAGCGGAACUCCGAGUGUAGAGGUGAAAUUCGUAGAUAUUCGGAAGAACACCAGUGGCGAAGGCGGCUUACUGGCCCAUUACUGACGCUGAGGCUCGAAAGCGUGGGGAGCAAACAGGAUUAGAUACCCCAGUAGUCCCUGUCUCUUAUAC
rnacentral:rRNA from 1 species